rnacentral:rRNA from 1 species
CAAUAGCGUAUAUUAAAGUUGUUGCGGUUAAAAAGCUCGUAGUUGGAUUUCUGCCGAGGACGACUGGUCCGCCCUCUGGGUGAGUAUCUAGUUCGGCCUGGGCAUCUUCUUGGAGAACGUAGCUGCACUUGACUGUGUGGUGCGGUAUCCAGGACUUUUACCUUGAGGAAAUUAGAGUGUUUCAAGCAGGCACACGCCUUGAAUACAUUAGCAUGGAAUAAUAAGAUAGGACUUCGGUUCUAUUUUGUUGGUUUCUAGAGCUGAAGUAAUGAUUAAUAGGGAUAGUUGGGGGCAUUCGUAUUUAACUGUCAGAGGUGAAAUUCUUGGAUUUGUUAAGGACGGACUACUGCGAAAGCAUUUGCCAAGGAUGUUUUCAUUGA